rnacentral:rRNA from 1 species
GACGAACGCUGGCGGCGUGCUUAACACAUGCAAGUUGAACGAAGAGCGAUGGAAGCUUGCUUCUAUCAAUCUUAGUGGCGCACGGGUGAGUAACGCGUAAUCAACCUGCCCUUCAGAGGGGGACAACAGUUGGAAACGACUGCUAAUACCGCAUACGAUCUAAUCUCGGCAUCGAGGAUAGAUGAAAGGUGGCCUCUACAUGUAAGCUAUCACUGAAGGAGGGGAUUGCGUCUGAUUAGCUAGUUGGAGGGGUAACGGCCCACCGAGGCGAUGAUCAGUAGCCGGUCUGAGAGGAUGAACGGCCACAUUGGGACUGAGACACGGCCCAGACUCCUACGGGAGGCAGCAGUGGGGAAUCUUCCGCAAUGGACGAAAGUCUGACGGAGCAACGCCGCGUGAGUGAUGACGGCCUUCGGGUUGUAAAGCUCUGUUAAUCGGGACGAAAGGCCUUCUUGCGAAUAGUGAGAAGGAUUGACGGUACCGGAAUAGAAAGCCACGGCUAACUACGU